rnacentral:rRNA from 1 species
UACGUAGGCAGCAAGCGUUGUUCGGAGUUACUGGGCGUAAAGGGUGCGUAGGCGGCUUUUUAAGUCUGGUGUGAAAUCUCCCGGCUCAACUGGGAGGGUGCGCCGGAUACUGAGGGGCUAGAGUGUGGGAGAGGAAAGUGGAAUUCCUGGUGUAGCGGUGAAAUGCGUAGAUAUCAGGAGGAACACCGGCGGUGUAGACGGCUUUCUGGACCGUAGCUGACGCUGAGACACGAAAGCGUGGGUAGCAAACAGG